AGAGUUUGAUCCUGGCUCAGAUUGAACGCUGGCGGCAUGCCUUACACAUGCAAGUCGAACGGCAGCACGGGAGCAAUCCUGGUGGCGAGUGGCGAACGGGUGAGUAAUAUAUCGGAACGUGCCCAGUCGUGGGGGAUAACGCAGCGAAAGCUGUGCUAAUACCGCAUACGAUCUCUGGAUGAAAGCGGGGGACUCAGCAAUGGGCCUCGCGCGAUUGGAGCGGCCGAUAUCAGAUUAGCUAGUUGGUGGGGUAAAAGCCCACCAAGGCGACGAUCUGUAGCUGGUCUGAGAGGACGACCAGCCACACUGGAACUGAGACACGGUCCAGACUCCUACGGGAGGCAGCAGUGGGGAAUUUUGGACAAUGGGCGCAAGCCUGAUCCAGCAAUGCCGCGUGCAGGAUGAAGGCCUUCGGGUUGUAAACUGCUUUUGUACGGAACGAAACGGUUCUCUCUAAUAAAGGGGGCUAAUGACGGUACCGUAAGAAUAAGCACCGGCUAACUACGUGCCAGCAGCCGCGGUAAUACGUAGGGUGCGAGCGUUAAUCGGAAUUACUGGGCGUAAAGCGUGCGCAGGCGGUUAUAUAAGACAGAUGUGAAAUCCCCGGGCUCAACCUGGGACCUGCAUUUGUGACUGUAUAGCUAGAGUACGGUAGAGGGGGAUGGAAUUCCGCGUGUAGCA
rnacentral:rRNA from 1 species